rnacentral:misc_RNA from 1 species
GAUGAAGAACGUAGCGAAAUGCGAUAAGUAAUGUGAAUUGCAGAAUUCAGUGAAUCAUCGAAUCUUUGAACGCACAUUGCGCCCCUUGGUAUUCCGAGGGGCAUGCCUGUUCGAGCGUCAUUAUAACCCCUCAAGCUCAGCUUGGUGUUGGGGCCUGCUGCACUGGCAGCCCUUAAAAUCAGUGGCGGCGCCAUCUGGCUCUAAGCGUAGUAAUUCUUCUCGCUAUGGAGUCCUGGUGGAUGCUUGCCAUCAACCCCCAAUUUUUCUAUGGUUGACCUCGGAUCAGGUAGGGAUACCCGCUGAACUUAAGCAUAUCAAUAAGCAGAGGA